AACCUAGCACACCUGCGGUGUGUACCUGCGGAGGGAUCAUUAAUGAGUGUAAUCUACCCCUUAAAAAAGGGUGGUACCUCCCCGUCCUUUGCAGGCCCUCCCCCCUUUUUUUUUGGGGGGGGGCUUUUUAAGACUUUCUGCUUCGGCGGGGUUAUUCCCGCCGGAACACCCUCAAAAAUCUCUCAAAAAAAUCGUUCAGUCCGAGAAAAUUGAAAAUAUAAAAAAAACUUUCAACAAUGG
rnacentral:misc_RNA from 1 species